rnacentral:rRNA from 1 species
GAUGAACGCUGGCGGCGUGCCUAAUACAUGCAAGUCGAGCGAACGGACGAGAAGCUUGCUUCUCUGAUGUUAGCGGCGGACGGGUGAGUAACACGUGGAUAACCUACCUAUAAGACUGGGAUAACUUCGGGAAACCGGAGCUAAUACCGGAUAAUAUUUUGAACCGCAUGGUUCAAAAGUGAAAGACGGUCUUGCUGUCACUUAUAGAUGGAUCCGCGCUGCAUUAGCUAGUUGGUAAGGUAACGGCUUACCAAGGCAACGAUGCAUAGCCGACCUGAGAGGGUGAUCGGCCACACUGGAACUGAGACACGGUCCAGACUCCUACGGGAGGCAGCAGUAGGGAAUCUUCCGCAAUGGGCGAAAGCCUGACGGAGCCACGCCGCGUGAGUGAUGAAGGUCUUCGGAUCGUAAAACUCUGUUAUUAGGGAAGAACAUAUGUGUAAGUAACUGCGCACAUCUUGACGGUACCUAAUCAGAAAGCAACGGCUAACUACGUG